rnacentral:rRNA from 1 species
UACGUAGGGUGCAAGCGUUGUCCGGAAUUAUUGGGCGUAAAGAGCUCGUAGGCGGUCUGUCGCGUCUGCUGUGAAAACUCAGGGCUUAACCCUGAGCUUGCAGUGGGUACGGGCAGACUAGAGUGCGGUAGGGGAGACUGGAAUUCCUGGUGUAGCGGUGAAAUGCGCAGAUAUCAGGAGGAACACCGGUGGCAAAGGCGGGUCUCUGGGCCGUAACUGACGCUGGAGGAGCGAAAGCAUGGGGAGCGAACAGG